rnacentral:rRNA from 1 species
GUCGGUACAAAGGGUUGCCACACAGCGAUGUGAUGCUAGUCUCAAAAAGCCGUUCGUAGUCCGGAUUGGAGUCUGCAACUCGACUCCAUGAAGUCGGAAUCGCUAGUAAUCGCGGAUCAGAAUGCCGCGGUGAAUACGUUCCCGGGCCUUGUACACACCGCCCGUCACACCAUGGGAGUUUGUUGCACCAGAAGUAGGUAGUCUAACCGCAAGGAGGACGCUUACCACGGUGUGGCCGAUGACUGGGGUGAAGUCGUAACAAGGUAGCCGUAGGGGAACCUGCGGCUGGAUCACCUCCUUA